rnacentral:lncRNA from 1 species
GGGGAAAGGAAUGUAUGUAUAAGUGCCAAUCAUUUUACCAAGCUGUUAGUUCUUGAGGCUGAAUACCAGGAGCUGUUUUGGCAGCUAGUAUAAUAGAAGUAACAGGGAAUGGCAAGAGAAGGCUGUUCCAGUUUCUCUUUCUCUGACUACCCAGGAUUGAAAGAUGUUGUUUCAGCUGGAGAAUUUAAAACGGGUUCUUACUCACUUUUUGCUAAAAGAGACUGGGCUGCUUUCAGUGUUGUAAUCCAUAGGCAUGGAGAAGGGUCACCACCUGAUCUUGUUAAGGAGAUCAUGAGGUUAAAGCUGUGGCAGGGUCCUUUCUCAAAACUCUGGCUCUUCUCAGAAUAAUGUUUGGCCAGGUGUUAAUCUGUGUCCUGAGGGGAAGUUCUGGAAUUCGUUAUUCAUCCCUGGGGGUAGGGGUAGGAGGAGGAGUUGCCCUUCUGGGAGGGGACUGGGGCCAGGACCUGCCUCCUGCCUUUACUGACAUGUGCCAUUUGUGAUGAAGGCGGCUGAAGCCCAUUUGAGGAGUUCUCCUGUCAGCCAGCCAAGAGAGCAACCCAGAGGGAGAGAGAGAGGAGGGAGAGGCAGACUGCUCUGCAAGGCAGUCCUGGAGUGCAGUUUCCGGAGCGAUAUCGCACCGCGCUGUAGGCGCCAAGGGAAGGUGUAUAGGAACAUUAGGCGGAAGGAGGCCAGAUUAAUAGUGCAUUUUCCUGUGUCUUUGCCUUCAGCCCCUCCUUUGAAUACAUGUCAUCCUUUGGAAAACUCAGCAUCUGGAAGAAGCCUUUGCUGAAAAGCGGCUUUUUCUUCUGCAUUCUACUGUUUUUGUUUUUUCUCUUCCUCUUUUUAUUUUUAUUUUUUUCCUAUCUCCUUUUCCUCUGAGAGCAGGAGGUGAGACAAUGAUCAAGUCAAGCUGGUUCUAUGUUAAGUUCAAGUAUGCAGAGAAGCUCAAGCCAGGGCAGAACAGCUGCAGGGACAGUGACAGUGAGAGCGCCAGUGGAGAAUCCAAAGGCUUCCACAGGAGCAGCUCCCGGGAAAGGCUCAGCGACAGUUCAGCUCCUUCCAGCUUGGGAACAGGCUACUUCGCUGCAGUUCUGUAGCUUGGGUAACGGUCAGAGGAACUCUAAUGCCAGAACAAAUGAUGCUGCUAAACGGAAAGAGCAGGAGUCUUCUCUCUACAAAAUGCCUCACAAAGGAGACUUUCUUUGCUCCUCUUGGUACAUGUGACUUAUGACAGAGAAGCACAGAGGAAGGAAAGCUGCUGUGGUGAGAGCAAGGCUGAUUCCUUUAAAAAAGGUAAUACAGAAAGGCUGUCUUUUAAUAGAAACUUUGGGUUUGCUGAUUUAAAGCAGCAACAUAGUUGCAUUCUAGAGAUUUUAGAAAAUGUCAAAGAAAAAAUUGCACUUCUAAUAAAACUAAGAGGUGAUCACUCUUACCAUUUUAGGAUAUAAGCACUUUAGUCUUCCUUCUUUCAAGGUCAUUAAAAAUUUUCCAUAGCUUGAU